rnacentral:rRNA from 1 species
CAUAUGGCGAUUGAUUUAGCGGCCGCGAUUCGCCCUUCCUACGGGAGGCAGCAGUGGGGAAUAUUGGACAAUGGGGGCAACCCUGAUCCAGCCAUGCCGCGUGUGUGAAGAAGGCCCUCGGGUUGUAAAGCACUUUCAGCGAGGAAGAACGCCUAGCGGUUAAUACCCGCUAGGAAAGACAUCACUCGCAGAAGAAGCACCGGCUAACUCCGUGCCAGCAGCCGCGGUAAUACGGAGGGUGCAAGCGUUAAUCGGAAUUACUGGGCGUAAAGCGCGCGUAGGUGGCUUGAUAAGCCGGUUGUGAAAGCCCCGGGCUCAACCUGGGAACGGCAUCCGGAACUGUCAAGCUAGAGUGCAGGAGAGGAAGGUAGAAUCCCCGGUGUAGCGGUGAAAUGCGUAGAGAUCGGGAGGAAUACCAGUGGCGAAGGCGGCCUUCUGGACUGACACUGACACUGAGGUGCGAAAGCGUGGGUAGCAAACAGGAUUAGAUACCCUGGUAGUCCACGCCGUAAACGAUGUCGACCAGCCGUUGGGUGCCUAGCGCACUUUGUGGCGAAGUUAACGCGAUAAGUCGACCGCCUGGGGAGUACGGCCGCAAGGUUAAAACUCAAAUGAAUUGACGG